AAAGGCUUCCACCUGCAUCCUUACCCAGUUCUCCUGCAGGGCCCUCCCUGUCCCCAGAAGUGUCCCUAACUUCAGUGAUGGAUGGGCAUCCCUGGCCUUCCUGAGUUCCGCUACUGGGCACUUUGAGCCCCCUCGUCCCACACACCCCAUCCCACCCCCCCCAGCCAUGCCCCACGCCUUGCCUGGUGGGUGCGGGGUCCCCCUCAGCAGGUGGGCUGUGGCUGGGGGGCGUCUCCCGGGACAGGGGGGGCAGCCCCCCCCAGAUGGGUCUGCAUGUGGCCGGCCAGCUGGGCAGGGGUCUUGCAGUGCACGCUGCACAGCUUGCACAGGAUGCGGUCAGCCCGCGGGGCCUGGAGCCCGUGGUCCUUCACCGCGUGGAUGCGCAGGCCGGGGACGCCCUCCUCAGAUGGCCCUGUCCUCCUCCCACCACAUCCUUGGUAGCCUGGGGCCAACUACUCUCUUGGGGCUGGUGGAACAUCGCCCCUCCCUAAGCUUGGGGCCUGGGUGAGUGGUGUCAGCUUCUCAGCCUUGGUGUCCACAGAACCUAUUUUCUGUGGCUAGGGGGACCUCUCCCGGGGUGACAGGCCACUGAUUUCUAGCCACUCGAAGAGUUGACCCUCAGCAGAGACGGCUGUGUCCCCUCCCUCCAGGGCCCCAUACGGUCUCAUUCCAAUUGCUCAGUCAAUCUGUGAAGCUGUAUAAAAGCAGCUUUCUGCUACUAGGGCAGGGUGCGAGCUUGUUAAUCCCCUGCCAGCAUACUCCACUUGCCCCAGAAGCCAAAGAGCACACCAUUGUGGAUGCACAGCUGAAACCCUGCCUUCCAACCCUUGGGAACUGGCUCUCUUGACUGCUCCUUGCUCCUUUCCCAAAGCAGCCGAAUCCUGCUCCUCCUCCCCACCCCCAGAGGCCCACUCUUGCUAGUAGCUCAUCUCCUCCAGUCAAGACCUCUUAGAACUUAAUGAGGUUCGGUCGUCGGAUGUUGUUCCCCUUGCUUCCUAAAAGGCUCUAAUAGCCGUGAGCUCUUGGCUACAGCACCUUUAACCCACAUCUGUGGAAGGGCCUCUGGCUUUGCCCCUGCCCUUUGUCCCUGGCCCUCCCAGCAUCCCUCAGCAUGUACCUUUGUUGCAGAGCUCACAGACAUGGUGAGGGCCCUGGCUGUGCACCUUCAUGUGGUCCGAAAUAUAAGCCGAGCUCAGCAUCUUGCCACACACAUGA